GGAGAAAUGGCUGAGUGGUCGAAAGCAGUAGAUUGCUAAUCUACCGUACAUUUUUUUUGUACCCAGGGUUCGAAUCCCUGUUUCUCCU
rnacentral:tRNA from 1 species